rnacentral:tRNA from 1 species
GGAGGGGUGGCAGAGCUUGGUUGAAUGCACUGGUCUUGAAAACCAGCAGGUCAGAAAUGGCCUCGUGGGUUCGAAUCCCACCUCCUCCGCCA